rnacentral:rRNA from 1 species
GAGUUUGAUCGUGGCUCAGAUUGAACGCUGGCGGCAUGCCUUACACAUGCAAGUCGAACGGCAGCAUGAUCUAGCUUGCUAGAUUGAUGGCGAGUGGCGAACGGGUGAGUAAUACAUCGGAACGUGCCCUGUAGUGGGGGAUAACUAGUCGAAAGAUUAGCUAAUACCGCAUACGACCUGAGGGUGAGAGUGGGGGACCGCAAGGCCUCAUGCUAUAGGAGCGGCCGAUGUCUGAUUAGCUAGUUGGUGGGGUAAAGGCCCACCAAGGCGACGAUCAGUAGCUGGUCUGAGAGGACGAUCAGCCACACUGGGACUGAGACACGGCCCAGACUCCUACGGGAGGCAGCAGUGGGGAAUUUUGGACAAUGGGCGAAAGCCUGAUCCAGCAAUGCCGCGUGUGUGAAGAAGGCCUCGG